rfam:Clostridium saccharolyticum WM1, complete genome.
AUGAUGAAUUUGAGAGAGAGCACAAAUCUGUGCCGCCGAAGGGGAACGCAGAAACUCUCAGGCAAAAGGAUCAGAUUCGGACG